AUUGAACGCUGGCGGCAGGCCUAACACAUGCAAGUCGAAUGGUAACAGGAAACAGCUUGCUGUUUCGCUGACGAGUGGCGGACGGGUGAGUAAUGUCUGGGAAACUGCCUGAUGGAGGGGGAUAACUACUGGAAACGGUAGCUAAUACCGCAUAACGUCGCAAGACCAAAGAGGGGGACCUUCGGGCCUCUUGCCAUCAGAUGUGCCCAGAUGGGAUUAGCUAGUAGGUGGGGUAACGGCUCACCUAGGCGACGAUCCCUAGCUGGUCUGAGAGGAUGACCAGCCACACUGGAACUGAGACACGGUCUAGACUCCUACGGGAGGCAGCAGUGGGGAAUAUUGCACAAUGGGCGCAAGCCUGAUGCAGCCAUGCCGCGUGUAUGAAGAAGGCCUUCGGGUUGUAAAGUACUUUCAGCGGGGAGGAAGGGAGUAAAGUUAAUACCUUUGCUCAUUGACGUUACCCGCAGAAGAAGCACCGGCUAACUCCGUG
rnacentral:rRNA from 1 species